AACGGCUGAACCAGCAACUUGGAGGAAUGCAUAGCAAUAGCUACUUGCAUCAUUGUAUAGAUAAUGCAAGAUCGACUAUGUCGAAUAAAAUUCUAGGUAGAAUUAUGAUAAUGACAUUGUCUGCCUAUGUGUCUUGACCAAAUUACGUGCCAGCAGUCGCGGUAAUACGUAGAAGACUAGUGUUAUUCAUAUUUAAUCGGUUUAAAGGGUACCUAGACGGUAAAUCAAGCUUGAAAAGAAAGGAACUAAUUUACUAGAGUUACUUACGAGGGGGUUAUAAAGUACUGCUGGUGUAGAGAUGAAAUUCUGUCAUACCUAUCUUCGAAAGAAUAACGACGGCACAGGUAUAGGCGAAAGCAUCCCCUUAUGUGAUAACUGACGUUGAGGGACGAAGGCUAUUUGUAGCGAACAGGAUUAGAUACCCCAGUAGUUGUAGCAGAAAAUGAUGAAUGUCAUAGAUUAGAUAAAUAAGUUUAUUCUAUAAAUGAAAGUGCAAGCAUUCCACCUCAAGAGUAAUUUGGCAACAUUGGAACUGAAAUCAUUAGACCGUUUCUGAAACCAGUAGUGAAGUAUGUUGUUUAAUUUGAUGAUCCGCAAAAAACCUUACCACAAUUUGUAUAUUUAUACUUUUUUGUAGAAAUUAAAGAUAUAUUUACAAGCGCUGCACGGCUGUCUUCAGUUAAUGUCGCGAGACUCUGGUUAGUUCCAUUAAAUUAACGUAAACCCUUACUUUAUUUUUAUAUAAAGUAGUUCCCCACUAUAUUGGAUACGAU
rnacentral:rRNA from 1 species